rnacentral:tRNA from 1 species
GUCAGGAUGGACAAGCGGUCUAAGGCGCUGCGAUAAGAUUGCAAUUUCCCCUGGAGGCGUGGGUUCAAAUGCCACUUCUGACA